rnacentral:rRNA from 1 species
AACGAACGCUGGCGGCAUGCCUAACACAUGCAAGUCGAACGAGACCUUCGGGUCUAGUGGCGCACGGGUGCGUAACGCGUGGGAACCUGCCCUUAGGUUCGGAAUAACUCCCCGAAAGGGGUGCUAAUACCGGAUAAUGUCUUCGGACCAAAGAUUUAUCGCCUUUGGAUGGGCCCGCGUUGGAUUAGCUAGUUGGUAGGGUAAAAGCCUACCAAGGCGACGAUCCAUAGCUGGUCUGAGAGGAUGAUCAGCCACACUGGGACUGAGACACGGCCCAGACUCCUACGGGAGGCAGCAGUGGGGAAUAUUGGACAAUGGGCGAAAGCCUGAUCCAGCAAUGCCGCGUGAGUGAUGAAGGGCUUAGGGUUGUAAAGCUCUUUUACCCGGGAUGAUAAUGACAGGACCGGGAGAAUAAGCUCCGGCGAACUCCGU